GCACUGGCCAUUUAACUGCAUCUCCUACUGAGCUGGAAGCUCUGGUGGAUAGGGGCAGGUCUGCUCAUUCACUGCUGCCUUCCCUGCACCUGGUACCAUGCACACAGAAUAAGCCUAGCAGAAUGCCUGUGGAUGGACUGACCAAUGAAAGUAAUGAGGUGCUGGGACCCGAAGGCUGAGUGGCAUGAGUCAUGAGGAGGCAUAGGUGGAGUUGGAGGUGGGAGGAGGAUGAUGUAGCAAAGGUAAUGGCAUGAGUCAAGCGUCUGGCUGAGAAUGGGCACAGUAUUUAUAUCAGCCAGAGUCCCAGCAGGAAGAUGGCAUCUUCCACAAGAUAAGUGGGCCAAGUUUAAAGAUGAGAUGAUCUACACAGGCAACUCUAUAGAUCACUGGGGACUCAUCCUGCAGAUAUCAUUCAAGGUAUCCGGUUCAGAAUCUAUCACCAGCUCAGACUGUAGCCUCUGAAGAGAUCUCAGAUGUUUUGUGCCUUAUACAUUUAAUUCUGAGAUCAUAGAGCCCAAGGAGGUUUUGAGGACCCUCUACCCACACCUUCAGAUGUUUUCAGAGGAUUUGCUGGCAGGGCUGGGCCACUGGGCCUUGCUGGGCUCUAAUUUUCCUACCCACGUGUGUCCUAUAGACCGUGAAUUUUCUUCUAAACACUCUUGACUUUUCACUUGUUAAAUUAAAGCAUUUUCUUAAAGAAAAGAUUAAAACCAAGAGGUGUGAACUUUUUUUUAUUGGGAGAAGGGCUAUGUGUGUGUUUC
rnacentral:lncRNA from 1 species